CGCGAAUUCUUAGUUACUGGCGAGUGAAACGGAAAGAGCUCAGCGUCGAAACCGUAUUUAACUUGUUUAGUGCGGUGUUGUGACGUACAGAUUCAAUCAUGUGCGUUUUGUUGACAAUACGAAUUUCCUUUGACUAGGGAUCCAAAGCGGGUGCUAGACCUGUACGUAUUGUUAAUUUUGCGUGCGCGUUUGUUUCUUUGAGUAGGGUUGUUUGAGAUCGCAGCCCAAAGUAGGUGGUAUACUUCAUCUAAAGCUAAAUACGACUACGAAUCCGAUAGUAAACAAGUACCGUGAGGGAAAGUUGCAAAGUACUUUGAAGAGAGAGUUCAAGAGGACGUGAAACCGAUAGGAUGGAAGCAGAUGAAGUUGACGAACGUGUGUUGUAUUCAGAGUUACAUUUAUGUGUAAUUUGUUUUUGCGACCAAUGUGGGCUGACGUAUUCGGUUAAUGCGAUGUGCUUAGCAUUGAUGGCGGCCCUGCGGAGGGAUUACCAAUCAGUGUACGGUGCUCGGUAUAGCUGGAUGUUUUCGUCGGUCUCAAGUCAUGCCUCAUCUGACCGUUGAAACACACAGAAUAU
rnacentral:rRNA from 1 species